GUAACACGAGGUGCUGCAUGGCUGUCGUCAGCUCGUGUCGUGAGAUGUUGGGUUAGGUCCCGCAACGAGCGCAACCCUUGUCAUUAGUUGCUACAUUUAGUUGGGGCACUCUAAUGAGACUGCCGGUGACAAGCCGGAGGAAGGUGGGGAUGACGUCAAGUCCUCAUGGCCCUUAUAGGUGGGCUACACACGUCAUACAAUGGCUGGUACAGAGGGUUGCCAACCCGCGAGGGGGAGCUAAUCCCAUAAACCAGUCGUAGUCCGGAUCGCAGUCUGCAACUCGACUGCGUGAAGUCGGAAUCGCUAGUAAUCGCGGAUCAGAAUGUCACGGUGAAUACGUUCCCGGGUCCUU
rnacentral:rRNA from 1 species